CACCACUGAAUCUUUAGCAUAUCUUGUGUCCUUGCUUGAUUUUAUCAUCGCCACAUUUCUGCCAUUGUUGCCUUCAGACUUGAUGCGACGGAGAAGAGAGGUGGUUUUUCCAGCAAACAUUGGNNNNNNNGACAUGAAUCUCACCAGCUGUUUUGUGCUUUCCGUCUAUGGAGCUCAAGGACACAGAGGACCUAAAGGCAGCCAUGGACGCUAGAAAUUUGGGGGAUUUGAGGAAAAGG
rnacentral:misc_RNA from 1 species